UGUUCCCAGACCAUGAGCAUCAAGUUGAUAAGGCCUUAAUAACUCUUGUCAAGUCAGAUAUGGCAGGAUUGCAUAUAAAAGACUUCCAUGGACGUUGGAUCCUCGUUGAUGGAGAUCUUGGCCCUCAAGAUGCAAUUAUUUAUCCUGGACUAGCACUUUACCAGGCAACUGCUGGUUAUGUGAGUCCUGCCAUGCUUAGGGUAGAGAUGGGCAAUUUGCAAAGUAACAUGUAUGGAAGAUGCUCUUUGGCUUUCAAGCUCAUGCCUAGAUCCAUGGCAAGUCUUAGCUGUUCAGAGAUGAGGGCAGCUGGUCAUGGAGUUGAAGCACAAUUCCAGAUUCCUAUACCAGUGGAUGACUUUAUGCAGAGGUCACACUCUACUGAUCAAUUCGCUAAACUUAAUUAUCCC
rnacentral:lncRNA from 1 species